GGCCGCAGGGGGUCGAGGGGGUGGGGCUUGCGGGCGGCUGGGACCCGGCCCCGGCCUGGAUCUGGAGCCGGGAGGGCAGAGGCUCCCAGCCGGGACCGAUGGGCGGGGCCCAGGUUCACACAGAAAUCAGCCGCCUGGGCCGUGUUGGUGUUAAAGCCUGUUUCUUCUCCUGAUCCCCAGCAGAACACAAGUGGACCAACACAAGUGAUUUUCUCUUGCCUCAGCAAGGGCUGGCACAACCCCUGGAAUCUGUCAACCACUAGCCUCUGAGCUUUAAAAGCCAGCUGGAUGAAGGGAUGUAACACGCACCUGGGAGGGACGCUGAAGUCAGCCGUGGGGGGGGAGGGGCCCGGACACACCCCUUCCCCCCCAGACUCCUCCCCAUCACGGUCCACGCGGCCAUGGACCUUGGACUUGGAUAAGUGGAGAGAAGCUGUACUUUGGUGGAUCUGAUUCUCAGUUUUGGAAAUGAAGUAUUAGGUCGGGGGAUGGGAGGGGGGGGGUUGCGCGUUGAUCUCCAGGGAAGCAACAGAGAGAAGAAAAGAAAGUUAAUGCUACAAAUGGUCCUUCAUGCUAUCUCUCAUCACACUGUGCACACGGACCAAGCCCCAGAGCAGGCGUAGAGGACACAGAGCCGCUUUUCUUAAAGAGUGAGGUAAGAGCUAAGGAAGCAUGGUCUCGGAUAUGUUGCAAUAUAGAGAGUGCAGUGAAGAGUAC